UAUUACUGAAAAUUAGAACUGACUUAACUUAUAGAAAACGUUUUAUGAAAUACAGAUAGAUAUUGUAAUCAAAACCAAUUUUAUUUGAAACUAUAAAAGAGUAUUUUAAUAGAGAAACGAAAAUUAUACAGUACUAUUAAUUCAUUUUCACUUUUUUAUUAGCAGAUGCUGAACUGUAAGAGGAAUUUUCAAUCCUCCUUUUCUUUUCAAAAUGUCCCAGUGGCUCUAUUCUUGCAAAUGUAUGCCGAACAAGACAUAUUUAACAAAAUAAACGCUAAAAACAAAUUUACAAACGCCGCUAACUGUUACAACACAUGCUUAUCACAACGGCCUACCAACUGUGUUGAAUCCAAAAUGGCUGACGAGUCAGCUCCCCUAUUUAGGAGCCUUAGGUCAUCCCACUUCGACGUCAUUGCUGUAAGAUUUUGAAAUCCCACCACCAGAGUGCGCAGAGUUCCACAUAGUGUAGAAUUCGUACUUGUAACAUACUAAUACCUAAAG
rnacentral:lncRNA from 1 species